rnacentral:tRNA from 2 species
GCCCGGCUAGCUCAAUCGGUAGAGCGUGAGACUCUUAAUCUCAAGGUUGUCAAGGUUGUGGGUUCGACCCCCACGUCGGGCU